AAUUGCCUGGUGAUGGACCAUGGGCUGUGGAUGUUAAUAUUGUUUGUGUUGCCGCGCCAUGUUUGAGGUUGACAAUGAUGAUUUUGUGUGUGGUCCAGGGGUUUUAGAAUUACUCCAACAUAGGACAAUUAAACUGCCUUCUUCUGGGAAUUAAAAGUAGUUAUAUCUUUCAUAUACACCAACCUUUGAUCAUCCUAUAUUUUAAGGAGGAAUGCUAUAACUUGUAUUGCUAUUUUGACUAUCUUUAUUCUGUAGCAUGGUAUAUUUGAAUAUGGAUCAUAAUUUUUUAUACACAUGAAUGUCUUUGCAUAUCUGUCCCUGUUUUAUAGUUAUAUGCUCUUAGGUUUAUCCAACGGAGAUGCAAAACACUAAAAAUGCAAUUGUAUUCACUCAUGCAGAA
rnacentral:lncRNA from 1 species